GUUAUGUUCACUCAUCACCCCUUUGAAGUCAGCUUUGAGUGCUUGGAUUCUGGUUACUUCCAAUCUGUUUUUUAUCUCUCACUUCAGCUGCAUGUACAUAGAUUCAGAGAUGGUGAAAACUGGAAAGGACUUCACAGGUCUUCUAAUCUAGGGCAUCCUCAGUUAACGGAUCAUCAUUGUGAGAUCACUCAACUGGUUACUGCUGCCAGCUCUGCUCUCCAUUAAGUGUCCUUGUUGAGUUUGCCUCCAGUGACAGCUGGAGCAAGAACACAGUCAUCUGGGGCCACAUCUCGCUGACACUGGCUCAGUGACCAGGAUCCUUCCUGUGAGCCAAACCCAACCAGAAGCUGGAGGGAACAGGAGUCAGUUCCAUUAAGAUCAGCCACUGGGGACAGAGAUCCAGGUGGAGAAUGCUGAAGAAAGCAUCUGGAUGUGCAAAGUUAAUACACUUGCUGGUUGGUCUGGGCUCUUCUCCACUGCAGCCUUCCAAUGAGUGCCAGCCGUCUUUCUCAGCAAAGCGAAUUUGUUCAUCUGUUUACGUGUCAGAGCUUUCUAUUGCACUCAAGUGUCCGCACUUAGUUUGACCUUCUCUGGACUUUUUGGUCUAUAUGGAAGAAGAAUGGCAGCCAAAGCCAUUGAGUUUUACAUCCUCCCAUCCAAUUAACUGAAGACAGACUGACUCUCUUCUUGGUUCCGUAUAUCCUGAGAAAGACUUAGGACCCAGGUUGGGUCAGGUGCUGCAACCCUGGAUAUUCAGCUGAGGCUGAGGACCCUAGAAGAAUACGAACAAUUUGGACAUCUGUUGAAUUAUUCUUUGAGUAAUUCAGGAUAUAUGCACAUUUCUGGAA
rnacentral:lncRNA from 1 species